rnacentral:rRNA from 1 species
CCUACGGGAGGCAGCAGUGAGGAAUAUUGGUCAAUGGACGAGAGUCUGAACCAGCCAAGUAGCGUGAAGGAUGACUGCCCUAUGGGUUGUAAACUUCUUUUAUAAAGGAAUAAAACGAGGCACGUGUGCCUUUUUGCAUGUACUUUAUGAAUAAGGAUCGGCUAACCCCGCGCCGGCAGCCGCGCUAAUACGGAGGAUCCGAGGUGUAUCCGGAUUUUUUGGGUUAAGGGGAGCGUAGAUGGGUUGUUAAGUCCGUUGUGAAAGUUUGCGGCUCAACCGUAAAAUUGCAGGUGAUACUGGCAGUCUGGAGUGCAGAUGAGGUAGGCGGAAUUCGUGGUGUAGCGGUGAAAUGCUUAGAUAUCACGAAGAACUCCGAUUGCGAAGGCAGCUUACUAAACUGCAACUGACAUUGAUGCUCGAAAGUGUGGGUAUCAAACAGGAUUAGAUACCCCAGUAGUC